rnacentral:rRNA from 1 species
CCUACGGGCGACAGCAGUGGGGAAUAUUGCGCAAUGGGCGAAAGCCUGACGCAGCGACGCCGCGUGAGGGAUGAAGGUCCUCGGAUCGUAAACCUCUGUCAGCAGGGAAGAACGGUCACUGUGCUAAUCAGCAGUGAAUUGACGGUACCUGCAAAGGAAGCACCGGCUAACUCCGUGCCAGCAGCUGCGGUAAUACGGAGGGUGCGAGCGUUAAUCGGUAUUACUGGGCGUAAAGCGCUCGUAGGCGGUAUGUCAAGUCAAGGGUGAAAUCCCCGCGCUCAACGUGGGAACUGCCUUUGAAACUGGCAGACUGGAGUGUGUGAGAGGAAGGUGGAAUUCCGGGUGUAGCAGUGAAAUGCGUAGAUAUCUGGAGGAACAUCAGUGGCGAAGGCGACUAUCUGGCACAUAACUGACGCUGAGGAGCGAAAGCGUGGGUAGCAAACAGGAUUAGAUACCCUUGUAGUC